CCAAGGCAGUAAAGAUUCGAAAAAUUCCCAAAUUGGCAUUAGGACAAAAUUCAAAGAGAAAGCUAAGUUCAGAAUACCGUUUUCGGUUUUAGCAUUAAACAGGACAACCCAAUUUCUGAGCAUCAAAAGGAGUUUUACAGAGAUACUCUUUUGGAACCCAAGGGACCAAUUCGAAACCCUAAGCUGUGAACAUAAAUAGGGAGAGGCGAAUCAGUGAAGACAACGAAAAAAAACCCUAAUAGAGAGGCGAAAUUGAAACUUGAAAGUAAAUCAAAAACCUAAUCCUAAGAUAAAAGAAAACCAACAUUUGAAGAAGUGAAGGGAAGAAAGCAUUACCUGAGCUCGCCGUCACCGUCGAAGGUUAGC
rnacentral:lncRNA from 1 species